rnacentral:rRNA from 1 species
GACGAACGCUGGCGGCGUGCUUAACACAUGCAAGUCGAACGGAAAGGCCCUGCUUUUGUGGGGUGCUCGAGUGGCGAACGGGUGAGUAACACGUGAGUAACCUGCCCUUGACUUUGGGAUAACUUCAGGAAACUGGGGCUAAUACCGGAUAGGAGCUCCUGCUGCAUGGUGGGGGUUGGAAAGUUUCGGCGGUUGGGGAUGGACUCGCGGCUUAUCAGCUUGUUGGUGGGGUAGUGGCUUACCAAGGCUUUGACGGGUAGCCGGCCUGGGAGGGUGACCGGCCCCAUUGGGACUGAGAUACGGCCCAGACUCCUACGGGAGGCAGCAGUGGGGAAUAUUGCACAAUGGGCGGCAGCCUUGUGCAGCAACGCCGCGUGGUGGAUGACGGCCUUCGGGUUGUAAACCGCUUUCGCCUGUGACGAAGCGUGAGUGACGGUAAUGGGUAAAGAAGCACCGGCUAACUACGUG